ACGCUCGACACCUACGGGGGCAGCAGUGGGGGAAUAUUGCACAAUGGGGGGAAACCCUGAUGCAGCGACGCCGCGUGAGUGAAGAAGUAUUUCGGUAUGUAAAGCUCUAUCAGCAGGGAAGAGAAUGACGGUACCUGACUAAGAAGCCCCGGCUAACUACGUGCCAGCAGCCGCGGUAAUCUGAGGCGGGCUGGCAAGGC
rnacentral:rRNA from 1 species